GACGGAGGAUGCAAGUGUUAUCCGGAAUCACUGGGCGUAAAGCGUCUGUAGGUGGUCAAAUAAGUCAACUGUUAAAUCUUGAGGCUCAACCUCAAAAUCGCAAUCGAAACUAUUCGACUAGAGUAUAGUAGGGGUAAAGGGAAUUUCCAGUGGAGCGGUGAAAUGCGUAGAGAUUGGAAAGAACACCGAUGGCGAAGGCACUUUACUGGGCUAUUACUAACACUGAGAGACGAAAGCUAGGGUAGCAAAUGGG
rnacentral:rRNA from 1 species